GAUGAACGCUGGCGGCGUGCCUAAUACAUGCAAGUCGAGCGAACAGACGAGGAGCUUGCUCCUCUGACGUUAGCGGCGGACGGGUGAGUAACACGUGGAUACCUACCUAUAAGGAUGGGAUUACUUCGGGGAACCGGAGCUUAUAACCGGUAAUUUAUUGGAACGCAUGGGUUCAUAUGUAAAGACGGGUUUUCGUGUACUUUUUGGUGGGUCCGCGGCGCAUUAGCUAGUUGGUAAGGUAACGGCUUACCAAGGCAACGAUGCGUAGCCGACCUGAGAGGGUGAUCGGCCACACUGGAACUGAGACACGGUCCAGACUCCUACGGGAGGCAGCAGUAGGGAAUCUUCCGCAAUGGGCGAAAGCCUGACGGAGCAACGCCGCGUGAGUGAUGAAGGUCUUCGGAUCGUAAAACUCUGUUAUUAGGGAAGAACAAAUGUGUAAGUAACUAUGCACGUCUUGACGGUACCUAAUCAGAAAGCCACGGCUAACUACGUG
rnacentral:rRNA from 1 species